UUAAUGGUGUCUUUAGACACCACCUCCUUCUUAAAAUUACUAUCUCU
rfam:Picea glauca, whole genome shotgun sequence.